UAGAAAGAAAAAAAACCCAUUAAUGAUGUGCAUCUUGAGACAAAACCAUGGCACUGACACCUUUUUUUUAUUUUUUUGUAAUACCCAAUAGUUGCCAGAUGCUGUCCUGUUGAAAAUUCUUCUUUACAUGAUCCUGGAGGAGGGUGAUGCUACAUUACUAAGUCCGUCUUUGGUUUGUUCCAAAUUCAGAAGUCUGCUGUAUUGUAUACAGACUCCUUUCGAAAGAGGGCACAAUCCAGCUGGCUUGGCGGAGUAUCUUCUUUUACAUAUUUGAUUAGAGGUUUAAAAAGGUGGAACAAAAUGGAGAACAAGUCUAAGCCAUGUCAGGAAUUCAACAAAAUGUACACCCUGCAGACACUGAGACGAGGUUUACAACAACUGCUUACCAGGUCACUGCAGUCACCCGGAUCGAGUACGUAUCCAGACCAGAUGGUGGAUCGCACCUAGAAAG